rnacentral:rRNA from 1 species
GACGAACGCUGGCGGCGUGCUUAACACAUGCAAGUCGAACGGAAAGGCCCUGCUCUUGUGCGGUGCUCGAGUGGCGAACGGGUGAGUAACACGUGAGUAACCUGCCCUCCAUUUUGGGUUAACUUAAGGAAACUGGGGCUAAUAUCGGAUAGGAGCUCCUGCUGCAUGGUGGGGGUUGGAAAGUUUCGGCGGUUGGGGAUGGACUCGCGGCUUAUCAGCUUGUUGGUGGGGUAGUGGCUUACCAAGGCUUUGACGGGUAGCCUGCCUGGGAGGGUAACCGGCCACAUUAGGACUGGGAUACGACCCAGACUCCAACGGUAGGCAACGGUGGGGAGUGUUACACAAUGGGCGGAAGCCUGAUGCGGCAACGCCGCGUGCGGGAAGACGUCCUGCGGGUUGUGAACCGCUUUCGCCUUAGACGAAGCGUGAGUGACGGUAAUGGAUAAAGAAGCACCGGCUAACUACGUG